rnacentral:rRNA from 1 species
UGCCAGACUCCUACGGGAGGCAGCAGUCGGGAAUAUUGCGCAAUGGAGGAAACUCUGACGCGGUGACGCCGCGUGCAGGAAGAAGGUUUUCGGAUUGUAAACUGCUUUAGACAGGGAAGAUACAAGACAGUACCUGUAAAAUAAGCUCCGGCUAACUACGUGCCAGCAGCCGCGGUAAUACGUAGGUGGCAAGCGUUGUCCGGAUUUACUGGGUGUAAAGGGCGUGUAGCCGGGCUGACAAGUCAGAUGUGAAAUCCGGGGGCUCAACCCCCGAACUGCAUUUGAAACUGUUGGUCUUGAGUAUCGGAGAGGCAGGCGGAAUUCCUAGUGUAGCGGUGAAAUGCGUAGAUAUUAGGAGGAACACCAGUGGCGAAGGCGGCCUGCUGGACGACAACUGACGGUGAGGCGCGAAAGCGUGGGGAGCAAACAGGAUUAGAUACCCUCGUAC